UGAGGAUCAUAGAAGGCCCAGGUGGGUUCAGUCAGCUAGCCCCAAAGCAAUAAGUUUAAGUGGAGUGUUGUCAAAUUACAGGGAAUCGUCUUAGCGGCGGGAGGGAGCAGUACUUUUCCCGGCUCUUACUUCUCACCUCACCUCACCUCACCUCACCAACUGUAAAAUAAUUCACUCAAAUUCACUAAACGAUACGAAGAUGGAUAUUGCUGGCGUGGCGUGGCGUCACAUUCAAAACCCUUAGGGUUCAUCACACCCCCCUUUCUAAACAAUACACUGUUAUAUAAAGGCAUAAACCUUUCCAGCUUUCCCUUGUCACACAAAGCAAAACACACACACGCAAAAAGAGGAGGCAUAUUUCAGGUUUGUGCAUGAAUCUAAUAAAACCAUAAGCUAGAAAAAGAAGAUGGAAAGGUGGAUUUGUUUCAUGUUAGAUUCACGCACAAACUCGUAAUCUGUCUUUUCAUUUCACUGCCUCAUCGUUUCUUCAAGUUGUUAUCUGUCAACAUCCUUUUUCUUUUUACCCCUCUUCCACGAAUUGCCAAUUUUAACUCUUUAAUUGUGGAGAACAAACAGAUAGUUGAUGCAAGUCUGCAUGUUGAGUUAAAAGAGGCGUCGACUCUCUAAAAUUUCAGGGUAAUGUUGUCUAAUUUUACUACUUUUAUUUAAUAAUUAAUGGUUGUUUUUGGGAAUUAUUGUAGGAUUUGAUUUUUUUUUAUAUCUCAGUUUGGUGGAGUGACUUGAAUCAAACAAUAAUAGGAAAAAAGGUAAAAAAUGGUGAUUGGAAACGAGAUUACUGAUUCGACUUUUCCAGUAGUUGUGUCAAGCAAAACACCAUACUCUUUCAAUGCAAAUUAGCAUGUGUAAAUCCUCUGCCACGAAAUCUUAAAGAAUUUCAUGCCCUUUUGAGUAUAGCAGUCGUGGUGAAGUAGUUUUCGAUGAAUAUUUGUAUUGGCUUGACCUUUGGGAUUGCGAUAGGGUGAAAUAUAUAGCCCAUUGCAUUCCAGCUUCAUUGAAGUAGUUCUGGGCAUCCAAAACUAAACCCUGAACAGAAACCCGUUCUUUGGAUACCAUUUGUUGCUUGUUCCUUUGGGACUGCGAUUGAGGGGAACUAUAUGGGAAUGGUGCAAACCAGCUUCAUUGAAGUAGGGCUUGGGAGUUGGGAUUCAAAACUAACUCUGAAGGGAAACUGGUAUUUGUGUCAUGGGCCGUAGAUCAAAGCCCUUGACGAGUGCAUAUGGAAUUCAUUGCAUGGAACCUCUGAUGAAGGUCAACAAUGAUACUCAUUUAAUCUACGUGAAAUGAUCCAAUUCGUGUAAUAUAUAAAAAAUUCAUCAGUAGCUCUAUCAUAGUAAUUGUUGUAAAUCUUAAAAGAUAAAAGAUGUAUAGACUUUAAAUUCUUUGGGACUCUCAUCUUGUAAAUAAAUAUUAAUAUUAGUUAUAAAUGUAAUUUGAUCUGUACCGUUAAAUCUAAGGAAGUUCAAUUUUAAAUAAA